rnacentral:lncRNA from 1 species
GCCGAUUCCACGAGUGUUGCUCACGCAAAUAAUGUUGUUCACGACACACGCGUUGUUAUCGUGGUCACGUCAGAUAGCAUUGUCCUACAAAACGCUAAAGCUUAUUAAACAACUUUACACAGGACAAAUGGUAUCGUGUUUAUCCGUUGAAUCAAAACAGAAGACGGUUAUUUGUUAAGGCUUAACGAAAAAAAAAAAGGUCGCGCGAAGAUUGUGUACGAUUAUAGCUAGUAGCUAACGUUAGCUAGGUUACGAAGCCAAAUAUCUGCAUAAAGUUACUGCAUGAAGUUACUUAACAGGGACAACAUGUCUAGCCUUAACAGUCGCAAUAUUUUCGAGAAAGAAACAACGUCGAUUAUGACUUUUAUCGUUGAGACGGCAGUAGCAGAAAUUAGCCAACUGUUUUUGGACAACGAAUCAAUCGCGGCGCCAAUACCAAGUAACCUGGGAAAAAAGGUUGGCACCAUUAUGCACCUUUUGACAAAGGAGGCUGUUCGUAAAAUCUGUAGACUAUUCCUAGAAGUCUCUGCGGCUUUACAAAAUGAAAAUGAGAAGCUGAAGAUCAAGGUGGAGCAGAUGGAUAAAGAUCUGAAGGCGAUGGUUGAGAAGGGUGAGGGGCGAGAAGAACCGAAAAGACCAACCCAUAUUCUGCACAAUGGAACGAUCUUUAAAAUUAAGCCAGUUGGUGAGUGUGGGCCCAGCAACUCAUCACUGUCUAUUGAAUAUAGCAAAGGAAAGCUUGUUUGUAUGGUUUGCUUGUACUGAUAGUUUGUCUUCCACCUGUUGUAAAGGGAUGUGAUGCACAACAGCACAAUGUCGUUCAACGCAAAGGAAAUGUAAAGUUUUAUCUGCUUGUUAUUUAAGAUCUCCCAAUGAUGCCUGUUAACAAUGUGAAGACAAACACAGUGGCCUCAGCAUUGCUCAGCAUGGGAGAUGUCAGUCAAGUAAACACUGUCAUCGUACAGGAAGAGGUAUGUUCUUAUAACUUAUGAUCAUCUUCUGUGUAUGAUUUUAGCAAAUCUGACAAAUGUCUGUUUUAUAUUCAAUUAAUGACUUUCCUCCAUUCCAGACUACUGCGAGAAAUACAGGCUCUAGCACCGACCCUGUGAAGGAGAGGAGUGAGGUGAAAUCAGGAACUAAAACGUCAGUCAUUGAAGGUAAUAUCCCAAAGAAACAAAACUGGAUGUUUCAAGUACACAACUAUGCUUAAACCACAACAAUAGACCACUUUUCAAAUCAAAUCAAAUUUUAUUUGUCACAUACACAUGGUUAGCAGAUAUUAAUGCGAGUGUAGCGAAAUGCUUGUGCUUCUAGUUCCGACAAUGCAGUAAUAACCAACAAGUAAUCUAACUAACAAUUCCAAAACUACUGUCUUAUACACAGUGUAAGGGGAUAAAGAAUAUGUACAUAAGGAUAUAUGAAUGAGUGAUGUUAAGAGCGGCCUAGGCAAGAAAAAGAACGACCAAGAGAGAAGAUACAGUAGAUGAUAUCGAGUACAGUAUAUACAUAUGAGAUGAGUAUGUAAACAAAGUGGCCUAGUUAAA